GGGGGGGGGGUGUUUUGGGUUAGCAGGAAACUAAAAUUUCCUUUAUGAUGAGGAAAAGAUGUUAAGAGGCAAAGUUUGCAAUAAAAAUAAUUGAUUAGCUAGACUGUUAUGUUUUUGUUUAAAUAGAUUGAAGAACGGAAAUUAUUUUUGUUCAUAAAAAAUCUGGCUUCUUAAAGUCGUUGCUAACUGGAACAUAACAUAGCAAUAAUGGACCACUGAAUUCCAGAGAACCUUAAAUAAAAAAUUUACAAUUGCAUUUUGCAAGUUAAGCUUAGUAAAAGCAAAGUUUCGACCGGAAAUAAAUGCAUAAGUGAAGCCUUAGUUGACUUAUUUCUUGGAUAAACAUAAUAACUGGAAUAGGAAAGGAAAUGAAGUAUGACAUUUGUGGAGUACAUAAAGAAACUAACUUCUUGAAACCUUAUUUGGAAUAUAAGAGUUCAUAUGAACAUGAAAUAUUAUUUAAAAUGACUACAAGAUACUUUACAUUUGUAAGUUGAUAAAAACAAAACUCAAACAGUGACUGCUACUACUUUCUCAUUACUUAUAGUCAAGUGAGACUAUUAACUAUCUAAAUGGGUAAGAUUGUCUUGUUUUACUUAAGAACAGUUGGAUUGGUAGAAUCAAUAUUUCAAAUCAGAAUAUUCCUUAACUGGAACAAACAUUCCAAAUUGACAAUCGCUAGGGGUAGAGGGCUUAAUGGUAUUUUUAUUUCAACUAGAACUUUUAGUAAUAAAUAACUCAUAGUUCAAUGAGAUAUGUGAUCAAAGGCUCUUUUAUGCACAUUUAAUGACAAAUGAAAACUGGUUUCGCAGAGAACCUUUUUAAAAUUAUAAUAUUUUUUUUGCAAACAUGAAGAAGUCAUAUCCUAAAUGAUAAUAAUAAAAGAAGUUCAUAGGAAAUUGCUACCGCUACUUUUUUGUUGGAAUAGAAGAGCAAGUCCCUAUCCAAUAGUUGUUCUAAACACCAAAUGCAGCUAAUGGAAUGCUUUAUUAGUUAUGAAGAAGCCAUCUAUCACCCCAAAUUUAUAAUAAAUAAGGCCAUUUCAGCCUCAAGCUAUAAAAAAAAGUUAUAAUUUUUAUUUUCCUUUUGUUCUGCAGUCAGAUAACAAGUUAGGGAACAGUUUGAGAAUUAGACCUCAUUGAUUGGAAUUGCCAUGUCUGCAAUGGAAUUCCAGAUUUCUCAUUAAUUUUUUCACCAUCUUCUCAACAAAAAUGAAGGACUAGCAUAAAUUAUGCAUAUUAACUAUCGUGCUAGCCCACAGUCUAACUGCUCAAGGUUUUAAAGUGAUUAGCUGCUUAAAAUGAUAUCAGAAUAGAAAGUAAAGCCAGUGCAGAAACUUCUGCACUGAUAUUAUGUUAAACAACCAAUUAUACCCAAAAGCUUAAAGCUACUAAAACUAGAGUGCGCUACAAUAUUC
rnacentral:misc_RNA from 1 species